rnacentral:rRNA from 1 species
CCCCCCCCUUUUCUAAAAACCUCGGGGUCAACCCUGUUGGGGGGGCUCUUAGAAUUUGAUUCUGGCUCAGGAUGAACGCUGGCGGCGUGCCUAAUACAUGCAAGUCGAGCGAACAGAUAAGGAGCUUGCUCCUUUGACGUUAGCGGCGGACGGGUGAGUAACACGUGGAUAACCUACCUAUAAGACUGGGAUAACUUCGGGAAACCGGAGCUAAUACCGGAUAACAUAUUGAACCGCAUGGUUCAAUAGUGAAAGGCGGCUUUGCUGUCACUUAUAGAUGGAUCCGCGCCGUAUUAGCUAGUUGGUAAGGUAACGGCUUACCAAGGCAACGAUACGUAGCCGACCUGAGAGGGUGAUCGGCCACACUGGAACUGAGACACGGUCCAGACUCCUACGGGAGGCAGCAGUAGGGAAUCUUCCGCAAUGGGCGAAAGCCUGACGGAGCAACGCCGCGUGAGUGAUGAAGGUCUUCGGAUCGUAAAACUCUGUUAUCAGGGAAGAACAAAUGUGUAAGUAACUGUGCACAUCUUGACGGUACCUGAUCAGAAAGCCACGGCUAACUACGUGCCAGCAGCCGCGGUAAUACGUAGGUGGCAAGCGUUAUCCGGAAUUAUUGGGCGUAAAGCGCGCGUAGGCGGUUUUUUAAGUCUGAUGUGAAAGCCCACGGCUCAACCGUGGAGGGUCAUUGGAAACUGGAAAACUUGAGUGCAGAAGAGGAAAGUGGAAUUCCAUGUGUAGCGGUGAAAUGCGCAGAGAUAUGGAGGAACACCAGUGGCGAAGGCGACUUUCUGGUCUGUAACUGACGCUGAUGUGCGAAAGCGUGGGGAUCAAACAGGAUUAGAUACCCUGGUAGUCCACGCCGUAAACGAUGAGUGCUAAGUGUUAGGGGGUUUCCGCCCCUUAGUGCUGCAGCUAACGCAUUAAGCACUCCGCCUGGGAUCCGCCCCCCC